rnacentral:rRNA from 1 species
CUAAGAAUAUUCCGCAAUGGACGGAAGUCUGACGGAGCGACGCCGCGUGGAUGAAGAAGGCCGAAAGGUUGUAAAGUUCUUUUGCUAGGGGAGAAUAAGUGAGGGAGGGAAUGCCCUCAUGAUGACAAGGACUAGCGAAUAAGCCCCGGCCAACUACGUGCCAGCAGCCGCGGUAACACGUAGGGGGCGAGCGUUGUUCGGAAUUACUGGGCGUAAAGGGCAUGUAGGCGGCUUGGUAAGCCUGGCGUGAAAGACUGCAGCUUAACUGUAGGGAUGCGUUGGGAACUGCUUAGCUUGAGUUACGGAGAGGGAGCUGGAAUUCCGGGUGUAGGGGUGAAAUCUGUAGAGAUCAGGAAGAAUACCGAUGGCGAAGGCAAGCGUCUGGCCGAUAACUGACGCUGAGGUGCGAAAGUGUGGGGAUCAAACA